CUGGGGCUGAGGGAUGGACUGAUGCUUUUAGGCUCAAACGUGGCUUUUAGACAGAUUUGUUCAUAGACCCUCUCAAGUGCCCUCUCCGAGCUGGUAGGCAUUCCAGCUCCUCCGUGCUUCCUCAGUUACACAAAGGACCUCAGCUGCUUCUCCCACUUGGCCAAGCAGGGAGGAAGAAGCUUAGACAGGGCUCUCUUUCCUUCUUGCCUUCAGAUGUUCUCUCCCAGGGGCUGGCUUCAGGAGGGAGCAUAGAAGGCAGGCCCUUUCCUCAGGCAAGGUCUGGCCUCAGGUGGGCCGCAGGCGGGAAGAGCAGCCCUUGGCCAGAAGUCAAGCCCAGCCACGUGGAGCCUAGAGUGAGGGCCUGAGGUCUGGCUGCUUGCCCCCAUGCUGGGGCCAACAACUUCUCCAUCCUUUCUGCCUCUCAACGUCACUUGAAUCCUAGGGCCUGGGUUUUCAUGUUUUUGAAACAGAACCAUAAAGCAUAUGUGUUGGCU
rnacentral:lncRNA from 1 species